AUUGAACGCUGGCGGUAGGCCUAACACAUGCAAGUCGAACGCGAAAAGUCCCUUCGGGAUGAGUAGAGUGGCGGACGGGUGGAGUAACGCGUAGGAAUCUAUCCUGUAGUGGGGGAUAACGUUUCGAAAGGAACGCUAAUACCGCAUACGCCCCAAGGGGGAAAGCGGGGGGAGUCUUCGGACCUCGUGCUAUAGGAGGAGCCUGCGUCGGAUUAGCUAGUUGGUGAGGUAAAGGCUCACCAAGGCGGCGAUCCGUAGCUGGUCUGAGAGGAUGAUCAGCCACACCGGAACUGAGACACGGUCCGGACUCCUACGGGAGGCAGCAGUGGGGAAUAUUGCGCAAUGGACGAAAGUCUGACGCAGCAACGCCGCGUGAGUGAAG
rnacentral:rRNA from 1 species